rnacentral:rRNA from 2 species
GUGCGAGACCGAUAGCGAACAAGUACCGUGAGGAAAAGAUGAAAAGAACUUUGAAAAGAGAGUUAAAGAGUACCCGAAACUGCUGAAAGGGAACCGAAUCGUUUCCAGUGUCUAUAAUCUGCGGCAUAUUUCAUUGGCGAGUAGAUGUGUGUAGCGUUUUGUAAGUAGUUUUCUGCUGCUGGCGUUGCUUUGCGUUUGCUUGUUGGUGCCCUGUGCUGUAGUGGGACGUCAGAGUCAGUUCGUAUACUGCGGGAAAUGGUUGCUGGGGAGGUAGGUCGCUUCGGUGGCUAUUAUAUCCUGGUGACUAGUCGUCGUGGUUGGGACUGAGNUGCCUACAAUGUGCUUUCGAGUCUAUGGGGACUCUCGUUUGGCUGUUUGCCUUGAUAGCUUGCUAUGCUGGUGAAUAUGUUGGGCGANUGUGAUCUGUAGUAACUUGUUUGCGUGUUCGGGGACUUUGA